UACGAAGGGGGCUAGCGUUGCUCGGAAUCACUGGGCGUAAAGCGCACGUAGGCGGGUCGUUUAAGUCGGGGGUGAAAUCCUGGAGCUCAACUCCAGAACUGCCUUCGAUACUGGCGAUCUUGAGUCUGGGAGAGGUGAGUGGAACUCCGAGUGUAGAGGUGAAAUUCGUAGAUAUUCGGAAGAACACCAGUGGCGAAGGCGGCUCACUGGCCCGGUACUGACGCUGAGGCGCGAAAGCGUGGGGAGCAAACAGG
rnacentral:rRNA from 1 species